rnacentral:misc_RNA from 1 species
AUAUAGCCGACCUCAAAUUUUUAGAUAAAUGCUUAGUUGAGUUAAGUUGAGUUGGGUAUCUGGAGUUCUCUCAUCAUGAAGGCUUAUAGUGUAUCUGCUUUUGGGAUGCUGGGAUGCUGAAUUGGGUCAGGUGCGCCAAUCUAGAGACUUUUAAGGGUUAGAAAGAGUUACAAGAUUUAUCUUAUUUAUAGUGAAUGGACUUCUAAUAGUAGCAUAUCCUUAUGGAGUAAUGAAAUCAUCGAAUGAUAUUUUGGUAAAUUGAUAGUGUUGAUUUUUGCUAUGAUCUUUAGUUACCAUGUUCUAUCCAAGGAAAAUGAA